rnacentral:misc_RNA from 1 species
GUUGGAUCAACUUGAGCAGACUUCCCAGCCAAAGCCAAGCUCUCUCGAGUCAGAUUGCUGUCAAGAUGGGGACUGUGCACCAAGUGGGAGGCAGGUUUCCCCUGAGAAGCUCAUCAGGGCUGCAAUGCUGAGGAACCGAUUUGCUGAUACAAUAUUAAAAGCUCGAGAAAAGGCGCUUUUGCAGGUUGAUAAGGACCCUGAGAAACUGAGGCAGGAGAUGGAUGAGCUUGAGUUGCAGAAAAAGAAAGAAAAAGCUAGAUUGCAAGCUGAAGCCAAGGCUGCUGAAGAUGCUCGAAGGCAAGCUGAGGCAGCAGCUGCAGCUGAGGCUAGG